GCCUAUGGUUUUUUACCAGCGCAAGAGAGGCAGCGGGAGGCGACAUAUUCUUUGUUCCUUAUGUUUGUUUGCUUGCUUGCCAUCAAAAUAAACCAUUGGAAACCGUUGAACUUUUUCAUGGACAUGCCUGCGUGCAUCAAAUCCCCACGGUGCAUCAGUGACCCUUUGAUUAAGUUUAGUUAAAGUUUGAUAUUUUGAUUUUUCUUUUUGACUUUUUUUUUUAUAACAAAUGGCCACUACAAUAAUCAUACAGUAGCCUUGCUCCCUACCGGUGUUAGGUUCCUUUAAAACUGCGCAGUUCUUGAAUGAACCCUGCUGCUGUUUCCUGCACAGUGCCCGUAUGUUCUCAUUACCUUCGGUAGUGUUACAAAACAGAGUUUGACUUACUGGGGCGAACUCAAGUAGCUCAUACAUUUGGAUCCAAUGCACAUCAGCGACAAACUUUGCUGUGAGUGUUUUUUGGUUAUUCAAAGCCCGAUUGUGAAUUCUCCACUCAGGAAAUAAGAGCUAAUCAUGCUAGCUGGUGUAGUGCGUGCUACGGUGUAACCACGGAAACAAACACAAACUGAUGGUGCAUCCACAGACGGAUAGAAUCCAUCCUUUUUACUGACGCACUGUCAGAAUAAACAUGGCUGAUGAUGAAAAAAUGACUAGAACGAGCCCAAAUUCUUCUAAGUCUCAGACUUGUUAAAUAUCUAUGCAGAGCCAUCCUUAACAAGGCUGGACAGUGACACUGAUGAGGAAGAUUCAGAGUUGGAUGUUGAGGAAGUGGACAUGGAGGAUGUUGAUGACACCCAGGAGGAGCUUAUUGCCUGAAAGGCACUGAAGGCUCAAACAGGAGCGUGGAUGCAUCUCCUCCAUCUGACCCAGAUAUGUUGAGUGCUUCACAAGCUGCACAUGCUAGGAGGGAGUUUUUUAUGAUGUCACCUGAAGAAAAAGUUGAACACUUUGAGAGACGAGCUCAGAACCACAAAGACCACCAGGAAUUUGAUGCUUGCAUCCAGGACCUAGUGCGUUGUGUGGCCCUGACAAGGUUGGUGUAUGAAGAUGGACAUCUUAAAUUAGCCCAGACCCAUGUCAGACUGGCUAAAGCAUAUUUCCAAUUUAAAGGCUGGGGUCUGCAGGCCCAGGAGCACUUGGCAAUGGCCAGAGAACAGCUUCUGUUCUGCUCCUCCAUCUCAUCCUGCACGGGAGAAAAGCUUGAAGUUCUCCUGUGCCUCCUAAGUGCACAUCUCACACAGGGAGGUACUUCCCUGCUAACAGACAAUCUUGAGGAGGCAGAAUGCUCUUUUCUGGAGGCAGAGCAGGUUCUUGGGGAGCUUCAUCAACUUGAAGGCAUCAACCAGGAGGAGAAGAUACAGACUGAGUUGGAAAUCUGCAAUGGUCUAACCAGGGUCUAUAAGAGACAGAGCAGAUCAGAAGAGGCCUUAAGCCAGUGUGAGAGGUCUCUGCAGUUGCUGAGGGACUGCGGAAAACCAGAAAAGAUGUGCUCCAUCUACAGGGACAUGGCCGCCAUUGAACAGGACAGUGGUCAUCUGGAUCAAGCCAUAGAGCAUCUUACCAAGGCUCAUGCCAUUGCUGUGAGUCAGAGCCCAGAGGGGCUACAAGGGGCUCAUACCUCCCACAGCCUGGCCCUCAUCCUAUCUGCGGCAGAGCCCCAUCACAAUGACUCAGCUGAGCGUUACUUUGAAGAGAGUCUUAGUGCAUACAAAAACUCUGCAGGUUCACUGGAUCCAGCAUUUCUUGCAGUGCAGGAUGAUUACUGUCGAUUCCUCCUCUUCAGUGACCAGCAAGAGAGAUGUUUCGAGAUACAGAAGGCUUCUCUUUCUUCAAAAAGAUCUACAUUUGGUGACCUGAGUGCUGAGGUAGCGGACACCUUUCAGCUCAUCGGGAGUGUGGAGAUGACCAAGGGAAGGAUGAAGCAGGCCCACAGGAAUAUGACAAAGGUUGGUCACAUGUUACAGAUCACAAAACAAACAGCACGGCUAAUGUUUAUCUUGGUGACAACCUUUAAAAGCAUAUUAGAAAUGCUGGACAGAGUAGAAGUUAAAGUCAUCCCACAUGACACUUUGAACCUGCCAAAGUAUUUGAAGGGCUUUAAUGAAAGGCCAGCGGUCGGUGGGUGUGUCCAUCUCCACCAGUGGGAGGCUUGUUCAGAAUACACACACACACACACACAUACACACACACACACAUACACAUACACACACACAAAGAGCCCCUGUCAUUUUGAGAUGAGCUAUUUCCACCAUCCUCCCUAAAGCUCGGUGCUAUCAGAAUCGCAGGCUAAUCUUGGAAGGUUGCAGUGUGCACAGGCGUGAUCCCUGGUGUAAAAUAUCACACAGAGUGACUUUGUGUUUCCUCAGCCUGUGUGGAGCCUGGCAGAUGGGCAACACAACUCUAGAAAGAGAUGGCUGUUUGCUAAAUGCUGUCAAUUAAAGGGACACUGACCCUGAUUAGUGAGGCAUGCCAUUAUGUCCUCACUCCAAAAGUGCCGUUCCUGCCUUUCAGCACACAUGCUUUGAAUUAAAAAUCAGCUUUUUACUUAAUUUAAUAAAGCUCCUCCUUUAGAGCUGUUUUCACUUUGCUCUUACAUAACAAGUGUUUUUGUUAGAUGUUCAUCUAUGACCUCAGUUCUGCCGCACAUCAAGCACACUAAAAUAUACCAGUAUGGGGAUUUCUUCAUACUAGUGUUGACAUGACUGUAAGAAAAGGAGCACCGUUGCUAUGUUGGUUUGUUUUGGCAUUCAAGUGCAGAGGGGUCCAAGUUCCCCCUGACACUGUCGGGGUACAUUAAGACUCCCUCUUUCAGCACCACUUUUGACUGGUAACCUUUCGGAAGUUCCCCGACACACACAAGAUAUGUCAGGAUGUUGUUUUUUUUCCCAUGUCAUCAUUACACCAUCUUCUCCCUGAUUGAGUAACUUUUGUUUUUCCGAUGGAAACAUGGGCUCAUGGACUCAUAGAUACAGUACAGGAGAAAAAACAGAGAACAAUGGCACACACACACAUACAUACACACACUUGACAUUCCCCCUUCCUCUGUAGUGUUGCUGAAAAAAAGGACUUCCAUUACAUCAACCUUAGCAACAGGGAAAACAUCCAACAGGCCAGAUGGAUCUGCUCCAGAUUACUGAAUGUUUUAUUUUCCCUGAUGUAGAGGAGAACUUAUUCAGCCUUUUUUCCUGACCUCAACAAAGCUGUCUUCACAUUGUGUUAUAAUGUUUGCCCAAAAACAGGCUUUUAUCAUGUCUGGUUUUUUUACCUGUUUUUAGUCAAACGUUUAGAUUUUUCUGCAGUGUUUUCGCCCACAAUCUAAGCAGUCUGUGCCCUUUCCUCUCAUUUGAUUGGACCGGACUAAAUGUAGAGUGGAAAAUGACUCAGACUGCGUCUUAAAUUUGUUGGCUUUACUACCACAGACCCUGGGUUGUUGGUUUGGAGUCCUUGUAAUAAAUCCAGCAUAUCCCCCUUGUUGACCUGACACUCCGAGUGGUCAGCACAGGUGUUAUAUAAACCUUGGAGUGCAACAGUAGUUAUUUUGGGAUGUUUAGUGGUUUCCCAUGUUGCUAGGAAGUGUUUUUCAUCUCUGAGUAUGAGUUGCACCUAUCAUCUUUCUGCCGUCAUUAUUUUUGUUUUAUUACAGUGCCUGGAGAUUCAGAGUUUGUUGUACGGUCCUCAGCACAAGAAGACAAAAGCUACACAAAAAGCUGUGGAUAUGCUGGCUCGGGCUCCAGAGGUUGCUGAGAGACAUCAGAGGCAAGGUAGAAGGAAAACAAAACCUCGUAUGUUUUCAGUUGUACCAUCCAGCGGCGAUGAUGGAAACUCGAUGUCAGAUUCCUACACUGCUUCUUCCUUUUCUUAAAGUUAUGUCUCUAAAAUAUCCUGCAGGUUGCUUACCAUGAACAACUGACAUCCUUUUUCAAAGACUUUUGUAUCUGUUAGAUAAUACAAGCAAGUUUCCACUGAUGAAAAGAGCUAUAGCUAUUCUUGUAAUGUCCACUAGCAUUAUGUGACUUUGUGUUAUUUUAGAUGAAAUGAUCAACGUUGAAGAAAAACUCACACUCAGAAAAUAUACCCACCACAGGUUUUAAUUAAGGUACGAUGUGAAUCAGUUUCCAAAUAUGAGCUGGUAUUUCUGUAACCAAAGAAAUCAUGUCAUUUGGUCAGUAGAAAUCAUGAUGUUAGUAAAACUGUUGGGUUAACCAUGAUGACACACACUUACUGAACGCUUGACUUAUUAAACAUUCUUUAUACAUCAAUA